rnacentral:tRNA from 1 species
ACCUCUGUAACUCAGUUGGUUAGAGCGCUGCACCGGAAUUGCAGGGCUGCAAAUUCGAUUCCUGUCAGGGAUC